AGAGAGAGAGAGAGAGAGAGAGAGAGAGAGAGAGAGAGAGAGAGAGAGGACUACUUGAAUCUCGAAUAGAAUCCACAGGUUUCAGCAAAAAUUCUCUAGUCGGAUCGAAAACUUCCUUAAUGGAUUUUUUUUAAAUAUUGAUUUACCACUUUUAAGCUCAUUGUCUAUUCCGAUUG